rnacentral:lncRNA from 10 species
AUGGCAACCCUUCCAGUUCCCCUUCCACUGUGUGGAAGCUUUACUUUCACUUUUGCUUUACUUUGGCUUUAAUAAAUCUUGACCCAGCACUCUCUUUAGGUCUGCAUGCUUCUCAAAUUGAGCUGUAACACUCACUGCUGCGGUCCAAGCCUUCAUUCUUUGAAGCCCGUGGAACCACAAACUCUUCAAUUGAUAAAAACCUUCGAUCGGAAGAGACUUCUCAUCUCAUUUCUGGGGGCCUGUCCGGGAUUUCUCUGAAGUGAUGGGAGGCGCUCCCUCAAAAGUGAAGCCACCCUUGAGGUAUAUUCUGGAUAAUUGGGACCAAUUCGACCCUCAAACACUGAAGAAGAAGUAACAUAUUUUUCUGCAGCACUGCCUAGCCAUAAUAUCCUCUUCCCGGAGGAGAUCCAUGGCCACCUGAGGGAAGUAUAAACUAUAAUACCAUCCUACAGCUAGAUCUCUUUAGUAAACGAGAGGGCAAAUGGAGUGAAGUGCCAUAUGUACAGGUUUUUUUCUCAUUAAGAGAUAACCCACAAUUAUGUAAAAAAUGUAAUUUACAUCCUACCGGGAGUCCUUAAAGCUUACCCCCAUACCCAGGUCUCCCCACAGCUCCCCCUAGUAAGGACUCUCCUUUGGCCCUAAUGGCCCAAAAGGAACCAGACAAAAAAAUAGUCAAGGAACUGAAAGGUGCCAAUGGUCUCAAUUGUGCCCCCUCCAAGCCGUGGUAGGAGGAGGAGACUUUGGCCCAGCACGAGUACAUGUCCCCUUUCCCCUCUCAGACUUAAAACAGAUCAAACCGGGCCUAGGAAAAUUCUCAGAUAAUCCUGAUGGAUACAUAGAUGUCUUACAGGGAUUAGGACAAUCUUUUGAUUUAGCAUGGAAAGAUAUUACAUUGUUGUUAGGUCAAACAUUAACUCCCAAUGAAAAAGAGGCCGUCUUAACUGCAGCCCGGAAGUUUGGGGAUCUCUGGUACCUAAGCCAGGUAAAUGAUAAAAUAACAUCAGAAGAAAGGGAACAAUUCCCCACAGGCCAACAGGUGGUUCCCAGCGUGGAUCCCCACUGGGACCUCGAUUUGUAGCAUGGAGCCUGGAGUCGCAGGCAUUUACUGACUUGUAUACUAAAGGGAUUAAGAAAGACCAGAAAAAAAUCCAAUAAAUUAGUCAAUGAUAUAAUGCAGGGAAAGGAAGAAAACCCCAUGGCAUUUUUAAAGAGGCUAAGGGAGGCAUUAAGAAAGCAUACCUCUUUGCAUCUGACUCUAUUAAAGGCCAACUAAUUUUAAAGGAUAAGUUUAUCACCUAGUCAGCUGCAGACAUUAGAAAAAAACUUCAAAAGUCUUUCCUGGGCCCUAAGCAAAAUCUGGAAACUCUAUUGAAUUUGGCAACUUCAGUGUUUUAUAAUAGGGAUCAGGAGAAGCAGGCUGAACGAGACAGAUGAGACAAGAAAAAGGCUGCCUCCUUAGUCACAGCCCUCAGGCAAUAGAACUUCGGUGGCUCUGAAAGAAAGAAAGGCUGGGCAGGCAACCCACCUAACAGGGCUUGUUAUCAGUGCAACUUACAGGGGCACUUCAAAAAGGACUGCCCAAACAAACAUAAGCCGCCCCCUCAUCCAUGUCCCUUGUGCCAGGGGGAUCAGUGGAAGGCACACUGCUCCCAAGGGCGAAGGUCCUCUGGGCCAGGGGCCACUAACCAGAUGGUCCAACAACAGGA